rnacentral:rRNA from 1 species
UGUGUAGGCGGAUGAUUAAGUGCCUUGUGAAAUCCCACGGCUUAACCGUGGAACUGCUUGGCAUACUAGUUGUCUUGAGCCACUUAGGGGCGAGCGGAACAAAUGGUGGAGCGGUGAAAUGCGUAGAUAUCAUUUGGAACGCCAACGGUGAAAACAGCUCGCUGGGAGUGUGCUGACGCUGAGACACGAAAGCCAGGGGAGCAAACGGGAUUAGAUACCCCGGUAGUCCUGGCCGUAAACGAUGUCCACUAGAUCGCAGAGGCUCUGACGCCCUUGUGGUCGAAGCAAAAGCGCUAAGUGGACCGCCUGGGAAGUACGGUCGCAAGGCUAAA